rnacentral:rRNA from 1 species
UACGUAGGGGGCAAGCGUUAUCCGGAUUUACUGGGUGUAAAGGGGGCGCAGACGGCAAUGCAAGCCAGGAGUGAAAGCCCGGGGCCCAACCCCGGGACUGCUCUUGGAACUGCGUGGCUGGAGUGCAGGAGGGGCAGGCGGAAUUCCUGGGGUAGCGGUGAAAUGCGUAGAUAUCAGGAGGAACACCGGUGGCGAAGGCGGCCUGCUGGACUGCAACUGACGUUGAGGCCCGAAAGCGUGGGGAGCAAACAGG